AGCGAACGCUGGCGGCAGGCUAACACAUGCAAGUCGAGCGGGCGUAGCAAUACGUCAGCGGCAGACGGGUGAGUAACGCGUGGGAACGUACCUUUUGGUUCGGAACAACACAGGGAAACUUGUGCUAAUACCGGAUAAGCCCUUACGGGGAAAGAUUUAUCGCCGAAAGAUCGGCCCGCGUCUGAUUAGCUUGUUGGUGAGGUAACGGCUCACCAAGGCGACGAUCAGUAGCUGGCUGAGAGGAUGAUCAGCCACAUUGGGACUGAGACACGGCCCAAACUCCUACGGGAGGCAGCAGUGGGGAAUAUUGGACAAUGGGCGCAAGCCUGAUCCAGCCAUGCCGCGUGAGUGAUGAAGGCUCUAGGGUUGUAAAGCUCUUUUGUGCGGGAAGAUAAUGACGGUACCGCAAGAAUAAGCCCCGGCUAACUUCGUGCCAGCAGCCCAGUAA
rnacentral:rRNA from 1 species